rnacentral:rRNA from 1 species
UACGUAGGGUGCAAGCGUUAAUCGGAAUUACUGGGCGUAAAGCGUGCGCAGGCGGCUAUGCAAGACAGAUGUGAAAUCCCCGGGCUCAACCUGGGAACUGCAUUUGUGACUGCAUGGCUAGAGUACGGUAGAGGGGGAUGGAAUUCCGCGUGUAAGCAUGAUGAUCGUAGAUAUGCGGAGGAACACCGAUGGCGAAGGCAAUCCCCUGGACCUGUACUGACGCUCAUGCACGAAAGCGUGGGGACAACAGG